rnacentral:lncRNA from 1 species
AGGGACCCGAGGGACGGGACCCCAGGAGCUGGAGAGUCUCUGGAAUUAUACAAACUCUGGACGACAGAAUCACAACGCACGAGGUGGCAGUAAGGCAGCUCUCUCCCAGGUCCCUUCACCGC